rnacentral:rRNA from 1 species
UACGAAGGGGGCUAGCGUUGCUCGGAAUCACUGGGCGUAAAGGGUGCGUAGGCGGGUCUUCUAAGUCAGGGGUGAAAUCCUGGAGCUCAACUCCAGAACUGCCUUUGGAUACUGGAGGAGCUUGAGUCCGGGAAGAGGUGAGUGGAACUCCGAGUGGUAGAGGUGGAAAUUCGUAGAUAUUCGGAAAGAACACCAGUAGCGAAGGCGGAGCUCG